rnacentral:rRNA from 1 species
GAUGAACGCUGGCGGCGUGCUUAACACAUGCAAGUCGAACGAAGCACUUUACCUGAUUUCCUUCGGGGAUGAUUGUUCUGUGACUGAGUGGCGGACGGGUGAGUAACGCGUGGAUAACCUGCCUCACACAGGGGGAUAACAGUUGGAAACGACUGCUAAUACCGCAUAAGCGCACAGCACCGCAUGGUGCAGUGUGAAAAACUCCGGUGGUGUGAGAUGGAUCCGCGUCUGAUUAGCUAGUUGGCGGGGUAACGGCCCACCAAGGCGACGAUCAGUAGCCGGCCUGAGAGGGCGACCGGCCACAUUGGGACUGAGACACGGCCCAGACUCCUACGGGAGGCAGCAGUGGGGAAUAUUGCACAAUGGGGGAAACCCUGAUGCAGCGACGCCGCGUGAGCGAUGAAGUAUUUCGGUAUGUAAAGCUCUAUCAGCAGGGAAGAUAAUGACGGUAC